rnacentral:rRNA from 1 species
AGUGAACGCUGGCGGUAGGCCUAACACAUGCAAGUCGAACGGCAGCACAGUAAGAGCUUGCUCUUACGGGUGGCGAGUGGCGGACGGGUGAGGAAUACAUCGGAAUCUACUUUUUCGUGGGGGAUAACGUAGGGAAACUUACGCUAAUACCGCAUACGACCUACGGGUGAAAGCAGGGGAUCUUCGGACCUUGCGCGAUUGAAUGAGCCGAUGUCGGAUUAGCUAGUUGGCGGGGUAAAGGCCCACCAAGGCGACGAUCCGUAGCUGGUCUGAGAGGAUGAUCAGCCACACUGGAACUGAGACACGGUCCAGACUCCUACGGGAGGCAGCAGUGGGGAAUAUUGGACAAUGGGCGCAAGCCUGAUCCAGCCAUACCGCGUGGGUGAAGAAGGCCUUCGGGUUGUAAAGCCCAUUUGUUGGGAAAGAAAAGCAGCAGGUUAAUACCCCGCUGUUCUGACGGUACCCAAAGAAUAAGCACCGGCUAACUUCGU